rnacentral:rRNA from 1 species
UACCAGACUCCUACGGGAGGCAGCAGUGGGGGAUAUUGCACAAUGGGGGGAACCCUGAUGCAGCGACGCCGCGUGGGUGAAGGAGUGCUUCGGCAUGUAAAGCCCUAUCGGCAGGGAAGAAGCAAGACGGUACCUGACUAAGAAGCCCCGGCUAACUACGUGCCAGCAGCCGCGGGAAUACGUAGGGGGCGAGCGUUAUCCGGAUUCACUGGGUGUAAAGGGAGCGUAGACGGCCAUGCAAGCCAGGGGUGAAAGCCCGGGGCCCAACCCCGGGACUGCCCUUGGAACUGCAUGGCUGGAGUGCGGGAGGGGCAGGCGGAAUUCCUGGUGUAGCGGUGAAAUGCGUAGAUAUCAGGAGGAACAUCAGUGGCGAAGGCGACUAUCUGGCACAUAACUGACGCUGAGGAGCGAAAGCGUGGGUAGCAAACAGGAUUAGAUACCCCCGUA